rnacentral:rRNA from 1 species
AUUGAACGCUGGCGGCAGGCUUAACACAUGCAAGUCGAGCGGGGUAUUGGUGCUUGCACCAAUACUUAGCGGCGGACGGGUGAGUAAUGCUUAGGAAUCUGCCUAUUAGUGGGGGACAACAUCUCGAAAGGGAUGCUAAUACCGCAUACGCCCUACGGGGAAAGCAGGGGAUCUUCGGACCUUGCGCUAAUAGAUGAGCCUAAGUCGGAUUAGCUAGUUGGUGGGGUAAAGGCCUACCAAGGCGACGAUCUGUAGCGGGUCUGAGAGGAUGAUCCGCCACACUGGGACUGAGACACGGCCCAGACUCCUACGGGAGGCAGCAGUGGGGAAUAUUGGACAAUGGGGGGAACCCUGAUCCAGCCAUGCCGCGUGUGUGAAGAAGGCCUUUUGGUUGUAAAGCACUUUAAGCGAGGAGGAGGCUACUCUAGUUAAUACCUAGAGAUAGUGGACGUUACUCGCAGAAUAAGCACCGGCUAACUCUGUGCCAGCCGCCGCCGUAAAAC